GCCUUGGUCGCCCAGCGGAUAGGGCGUCCGCCUCCGGAGCGGAAGGUCGUGGGUUCGAAUCCCAUCCAAGGCA
rnacentral:tRNA from 1 species